GAAUACCAGUGGCGAAGGCGGCCUUCUGGACUGACACUGACACUGAGGUGCGAAAGCGUGGGUAGCAAACAGGAUUAGAUACCCUGGUAGUCCACGCCGUAAACGAUGUCGACCAGCCGUUGGGUGCCUAGCGCACUUUGUGGCGAAGUUAACGCGAUAAGUCGACCGCCUGGGGAGUACGGCCGCAAGGUUAAAACUCAAAUGAAUUGACGGGGGCCCGCACAAGCGGUGGAGCAUGUGGUUUAAUUCGAUGCAACGCGAAGAACCUUACCUACUCUUGACAUCCUGCGAACUUGUGAGAGAUCACUUGGUGCCUUCGGGAGCGCAGAGACAGGUGCUGCAUGGCUGUCGUCAGCUCGUGUUGUGAAAUGUUGGGUUAAGUCCCAUAACGAGCGCAACCCUUGUCCUUAUUUGCCAGCGGGUAAUGCCGGGAACUCUAAGGAGACUGCCGGUGACAAACCGGAGGAAGGUGGGGACGACGUCAAGUCAUCAUGGCCCUUACGAGUAGGGCUACACACGUGCUACAAUGGCCGGUACAAAGGGUUGCGAGCUCGCGAGAGUCAGCUAAUCCCGAAAAGCCGGUCUCAGUCCGGAUCGGAGUCUGCAACUCGACUCCGUGAAGUCGGAAUCGCUAGUAAUCGUGAAUCAGAAUGUCACGGUGAAUACGUUCCCGGGCCUUGUACACACCGCCCGU
rnacentral:rRNA from 1 species